CCCUCACACACAUUCUCAUGCACACCAAUAACAUUUCGUGCAACUCAUCACCAGUGGGGCAAACAUGAUGAAAUUCGUGCCAUAUGGUAGCCACCGUUAUGCAUGGCGACCGAGUUUCAGCUCUAUAGAAAAAUCAGUCGAAGUGGUCUCCCCCUUUUGCCGUGAAAUUGAAACUCAAGCCUCCGUGGUAGGUAAGAGAAAUACAAGACUAAGCGACAAGAAUUACAUAGAGGCGAGGGGAAUACUUUUACUUUUUCCUGCCGGCCAAUCAGCGCCCAGCCUGCGAUAAACCAAAGAAGAGCGAAGUCGCGGGAGAGCCAAUGGGAAAGCGACUUUUAUUUCACACGUCCGAUUGUGGUUCUGAGGGAAUAAGGUGCGGUUCACAUACCUCGGAAGGUAAAAGGGUUAUAUCCUUUUGAUAUUCUUCCGUGAGACUCGAUAAAAGAAUGAGAGAGAAGAAAAAAAUAUUGCAUAUUUAAUCUCUGGAAUUCGGUACACGAUCGCAACCAGUGGCGACGCGAAGCCAGCGGCGCACGGAUCCGAACGUGUGUACACUUGCUAAACUGGGUCGUGUGUUCGUGUGUUUGUGUGUAUGUGUGCGUCGUGACGUCGCGAGAAACAGCUGAUCGCAGCUCCCACAACAGAGAGCGAGAGGAUCGAGAGAGGGAGCGCCUCGUCUGCAGAGAAUCGAGCUUUUUUCACCCCGAAAUCGCACCCGUUCCGCAGUUGAAAUGGUGCUUGCAGGCGUUCGAAGGGCACCUCUGUCCUCCGGGAGAGAUGGCAGCCCGACAUUCCUUUUGAGAAAGUUUUAUCUUUUGACAGACAGGCAUAGACAGAGAUGAUGAUGACUCCGAGGGAUAAGAUUAUGAAUAGGGAUGAUCGGGGAUGGUUAUCCUUAAGUUAAAAGCGAAAGAGGGAGAGAAAGAGAGAGAGAGAGAGAUAACAGAGGCAGACAGAGAACAGGAUGGGAUAUCGCGGGCCGGUAUGUGGAAGAGAGGAAAAGAGGUAAUAAAACAGGGAGGAGCGAAUAAAGAGGAGAAGGAAUCCGAAAGGACUCUAGGACUUGGGAGGAAAUAGGCCAAGGACGCGAGCUGGAGGGCCCCUUUGGAAGAAUCCUUAUCUUGUCUCUUAUCUCUCUUGUUUCUUCAUCGCCGUCGUAAUCAUUCCCUGUGACUUCCUUGUGAGUAUGUGUCAGAACGGUGUGAAAUAAAAAUUAUACAUAUCCUUUUUCAUUAUUAAUGUUGUAAACUUCGCAAAAUACAAACUGGUCUGUAAUCCGUGUUAAAGAAUGUGUUUAGAGAAAUACAGAAAAAAAGAUAGUGAAAAGUGCAUCAUGGGGAACUGUGUUUAUAUCCCGUGUUAAAACUUGUGCUGCAUGUAGUGUCUUGUUUUGCCAAUGAUGUGUGUUUCCUGGUUGGAUCCGAACUUUCAAAUAACCUGUGUAAUUUAGUGUGUUGGAAUGAAAGGAACGUGAGGGAGGCGGGGGCGUUCGGGUGUGUGUGUGGAUACCGUGCAGGGAAGUCUCGAACUUUCCCCAAUACAACGUAUAAACACACAACGAUAACGCCUGUGGCCAUACCUUCAAGAAUGGGGAGCCAAAUUUUCUAAAUCUAUUUCUUGGAGGAAAAAAUAAAAUGAUUUGGAAAAUUGGAGAAGUCAGGGGGGAGGGGGAGGAGGGAGAAUGCUGGUUUUGUACGUAAGAUUGGGAUGUGUCCAAACAUAGUUAAUUUGUUUAUUUUAUUAUUAUUGUGGGGACUUUUAGUAUGCGCGCGCGCGCGCGCGCGCGUGUGUGUGUCAGCUGUAUUUUGUCUAUGUGAGACCUAGUGACGAUUUCUUUAUUCCCAUAAAAUUGACAUAAUAACAGGAAUGAUAAUGUUGGUAGCACUAGUCAUUUCUUAUUAUCAUUUAUACCUUUUUAUAUAAUCUUGUGUAGACAAUAUCUGAUAGGAAGUAACCACCUUUGGAGGGUUUUUCCCUGUCAGUUAAUAUUUGCUUAGAACAAGAAUAAAACAUUGAUUAGCUUAA